rnacentral:rRNA from 1 species
AUUGAACGCUGGCGGCAUGCCUUACACAUGCAAGUCGAACGGCAGCACGGGAGCAAUCCUGGUGGCGAGUGGCGAACGGGUGAGUAAAGUAUCGGAACGUGCCCAGUCGUGGGGGAUAACGUAGCGAAAGUUACGCUAAUACCGCAUACGAUCUAAGGAUGAAAGCGGGGGAUCGCAAGACCUCGCGCGAUUGGAGCGGCCGAUAUCAGAUUAGGUAGUUGGUGGGGUAAAGGCUCACCAAGCCAACGAUCUGUAGCUGGUCUGAGAGGACGACCAGCCACACUGGAACUGAGACACGGUCCAGACUCCUACGGGAGGCAGCAGUGGGGAAUUUUGGACAAUGGACGCAAGUCUGAUCCAGCCAUUCCGCGUGCAGGAUGAAGGCCCUCGGGUUGUAAACUGGCUUUUGUACGGAACGAAAAGGUUUCCAUUAAUACUGGAGCGUCAUGACGGUACCGUAAGAAUAAGCACCGGCUAACUACGUGCCAG